CUUGCUUUUAAGCUUAGUGGCGAACGGGUGAGUAACACGUGAGCAAUCUGCCUUUCAGAGGGGGAUAACAUUUGGAAACAGAUGCUAAUACCGCAUAAGAUUACAGUACCGCAUGAUACAGUGAUCAAAGGAGCAAUCCGCUGAAAGAUGGGCUCGCGUCCGAUUAGAUAGUUGGUGAGGUAACGGCUCACCAAGUCGACGAUCGGUAGCCGGACUGAGAGGUUGAACGGCCACAUUGGGACUGAGACACGGCCCAGACUCC
rnacentral:rRNA from 1 species